AUGUUGGGUGAGACUUCAAGGAAGACUGAGUGUGACCUGAGAGGUAAACUCAAGCCAGUUGCUUGGGAGCCUAUAUCACAGUGUUGGGUGUUUGGCGGAGGCACCACAUUGACUGUCCUAGGUCAACCCAAGGCUACACCUUCAGUCACUCUGUUUCCACCAUCCUCUGAGGAGCUUAAGACCAAAAAGGCCACACUGGUGUGUGUGAUGACUGACUUUUACCCAGGUGUUGUGACAGUGGCCUGGAAGGCAGAUGGUACACCUAUCACCCAGGGUGUAGACACCACUAGACCUUGGAAACAGGGUGACAAGUACGUGGCUAACAGCUACCUGCACUUGACAGAAGAAGCAUGGAAAUCUAAAAGCAGUGUCAGCUGCCUGGUCACUCAUGAAGGGGACACUGUGGAGAAGAGAUUGUCCCCUGGAGUGUGUUUCUAGACCUUUCAACAUUCAUCUCACCCACACAGGCUGGGAUUUGAAUGAUGCACAAGUAUACCUUACUGCUCUUGACUACAUAGCCCUUCUCCCUGCUCCUGAAAUGCAUAAUAAAAUAUCCAUUCUCAGC